CGGGCAGGUGGUCCGCUAAGUCGUCUGUGAAAACCCGGGGCUCAACCCCGUGGAAUGCAGGCGAAACUGGCGGACUGGAGAUCGGUAGAGGCUAACGGAAUUCCUGGUGUAGCGGUGGAAUGCGUAGAUAUCAGGAAGAACACCAGUGGCGAAGGCGGUUAGCUGGGCCGAGUCUGACACUCAUCCGCGAAAGCGUGGGGAGCAAACAGGAUUAGAUACCCUGGUAGUC
rnacentral:rRNA from 1 species